GACCUGAUAGCAUAAUUGGAUAGUGCACCUGCUGAAUAUAGAUUUAGAUAAAAAAAGAUUGAAGCGGGGGAUCCCCGUUCGAUUCGGGGUCAGGUCA